ACGCUCGACACCUAGGAGGCAGCAGUGGGGAAUAUUGCACAAUGGGGGAAACCCUGAUGCAGCGACGCCGCGUGAAGGAAGAAGUAUCUCGGUAUGUAAACUUCUAUCAGCAGGGAAGAAAAUGACGGUACCUGACUAAGAAGCCCCGGCUAACUACGUGCCAGCAGCCGCGGUAAUCUGAGCGGGCUGGCAAGGC
rnacentral:rRNA from 1 species